CCGGAUUCACUUCCAGCCAUGGUCAGAGGUCCUCUCUCUAAUUUCAACCGAGUCAUUAUUUCUCUGGGUUUCAGUUCUCCCUUUCUAAAAUGCAGAGAAUAAUGCAACGAGAGGUGUCUUUUCCCCACUGAGCAAUUCCUCAAGAGCAGUUCUCAGCUUUGCCACAGACUUCUCCUGCCACCUUGUAUAAGUCACUUAGGGAAAUCUCUGAAAGAGCCAUUUCUGGAGCUCCCGUGAGCCCGGUGGGCACCCUCUUUCCGCUCCAUUUCCAUUGACGGGACUGACCUCUAAGCAGCCUUCAGACAACCCACAGGUUUCGGCUGCCCCGAGGAUCACAGGCUGAACGGAGGGUCCGUCUAGUCCUCAGACCUGCGAUAUCCCUUGAGGUAACGGCACACGUACGCUCAGCCUCUCAAAUGAGUUCAGUCGGUGAUGGGCUGAUUUCAACAUGAUAUUUGAACUGUGCAUGCAUUUAACCCAUGUAUGUGUGGGCACACGUAUGUGUGAAUUAUUAUUCAAAAGAACCGUAAAAAUGCUUCUGUGUAAAUCCUUGUUCUAAUCAUCUAAUUCUUUUUUAUGUGCCUAUAUAAGGUCAAAGUAUUCUAGAAGUUAGCAGCCAAACGAGGUUUGUUAAGUAUGAACGUAUAUAAUAGUUCAGCGCAGCAACAAAGUUCCAGAUUUAUUUAGAUUUGGCAAAUUAAAAAGCACGUAUGUAACAUACUGUUGCCUCGGACAGCUACGAACACCACGGAGCAACAGACGACUGGAUCAGCUUUCUUCCCUUUAGACUGAAUCCUCUCUCUUCUGCCUACAGAAGGGGUACUUUGAACACAAACUGGAUCAAAUCCCAAUACGCUUUGAAGAGGACAAAUGCAGACCUUUCUUUGCUUAACUGUGCGUUGGACAGUCUAAAACCAUGCCUGAGCUUACAGCACUAACAUCAACAGAAGUUUUCCUGAUAACGUCAGCUGAAAAGACUCGAUCCAAAAAUCCGCGGAAGUCAAAGUAAAGAUUCUCUCCAAUUUUAAGAGGCUUUGAGUCUGGACAUACAUAGAAAAACCUUUGCAGAUGUUCUUACGGUACCUGUAAGAUCAUCAUCUUUGUCUUGGAAAUUCUUCUCCAAGUUGCUUAUGCCAGUUUAUUGUAUCCGUACACUGCUAAAGAGUGUUCUCUCAUAACAAAACUUUCCUCAGGCAAAACACUCGGAGAGUUUACUAUGAAACUCUAGAGAGCUACCAUGUUACAACGUAUUAGUCAUGUUAGAAAGUCAAAUACUUUUAGUAGUGGCUUUUUGCUGUUUUGGGUUCGUUUGGUUGGCUUUUAGUUCAACAAGGGCUUAAUCUUACAUUCAGUUCCGAAGUUUGGUUAAAAGUAACUAUUGAAAAUGAUCCUUAAAAUCUGAAGAUGUUUUCCAUGGAAAUUAUAUCCAAAGUAGCUACAGGUCUUUAGCUUUGCCUUGAUCUUGAAGUGACUUCCACAUGAUACUGACUUGCCUUAUUUGGCUGACAACAAAACCGUGACCCUCCAGAGAGGUUAUCGUAGGUGGUUCCUGCAAGGUUUUUGCACAUUUGCACAUCUGACCUUUUGAAAUAAAGUGUUUGUCUGACUGUAGAAGGUGGCUUCU
ensembl:lncRNA